UGAGGAAUAUUGGUCAAUGGACGCACGUCUGAACCAGCCAAGUAGCGUGCAGGAUGACGGCCCUAUGGGUUGUAAACUGCUUUUAUAUGGGGAUAAAGUGGGGAACGUGUUCCCUUUUGCAGGUACCAUAUGAAUAAGGACCGGCUAAUUCCGUGCCAGCAGCCGCGGUAAUACGGAAGGUUCGGGCGUUAUCCGGAUUUAUUGGGUUUAAAGGGAGCGUAGGCCGUUUGGUAAGCGUGUUGUGAAAUGUAGGAGCUCAACUUCUAGAUUGCAGCGCGAACUGUCAGACUUGAGUGCGCACAACGUAGGCGAAAUUCAUGGUGUAGCGGUGAAAUGCUUAGAUAUCAUGAAGAACUCCGAUUGCGAAGGCAGCUUACGGGAGCGCAACUGACGCUGAAGCUCGAAGGUGCGGGUAUCGAACAGG
rnacentral:rRNA from 1 species